rnacentral:rRNA from 1 species
AUUGAACGCUGGCGGCAGGCCUAACACAUGCAAGUCGGACGGUAGCACAGAGAGCUUGCUCUCGGGUGACGAGUGGCGGACGGGUGAGUAAUGUCUGGGGAUCUGCCCGAUAGAGGGGGAUAACCACUGGAAACGGUGGCUAAUACCGCAUAACGUCGCAAGACCAAAGAGGGGGACCUUCGGGCCUCUCACUAUCGGAUGAACCCGGAUGGGAUUAGCUAGUGGGCGGGGUAACGGCCCACCUAGGCGACGAUCCCUAGCUGGGCUGAGAGGAGGACCGGCCAAACUGGAACUGAGACACGGGCCAGACUCAUACGGGAGGCAGCAGUGGGGAAUAUUGCACAAUGGGAGCAAGCCUGAUGCAGCCAUGCCGCGUGUAUGAAGAAGGCCUUCGGGUUGUAGAGUACUUUCAGCGGGGAGGAAGGCGAUGUGGUUAAUAACCGCGUCGAUUGACGUUACCCGCAGAAGAAGCACCGGCUAACUCCGUGCCAGCCGCCGCGGUAA